UUUAUGGGACAUACAAAGAAGACACAUACCGAGUUUUACAGGUAAUGUCAACUUUAAGAGUAUGCAUGCACUGUUAAUUUUGGUUAGGAUUUUUUUUAAACUUUUUAUGCUUGAUAUGAUAUAUCAUACAUAAUGUAAUAGAAUUAGCAACAAUGGUUAAGUUUCGAAAAGUUUACUUUAAAGGUAUCUCGUACACAAAAUAUUUCAAAAAGCUUUCUGUGAAAAAUAGUUAAAACCGGGUUUUAAUUGUUCCUUGUCCGAACUUAGCAAAACGCGUGUUGAGUCUAAAUUUGUUUAAUGAAUAAACAUUUCUUUUUAAAAUUUACCAGCAUAUUUUCUUUCAGCCUUUCCGAUAUAUUUGAAUGCGAUAUAUGAAAAAUCGUUAUUUCCCCUUUAAUAUUCGAAAAUCGUUGUUAGAAUGUAUGCUUCAUAAAUCCGUAUUUAAAAUAAAUUAUUGUUCUAUUAGACUCUCACUGUUUCCGAUAAGGUAAAUUCGAUGGAUACCUAAACCAUGUAUCUACAUAGACAUUUAAAUCUUUUUAAAAUUAAUAAAAUACUUUUAGACUACCGCAAGAUAUCUACCAGACUGCUAAAGUAGCCAAGAUUCUUUUACUUAUGGAAAAAGGCAAGGGAAAUCGGUACCGAGGAAAAAAAUUAAGUGAAAUCAAUAUAGAUGAUAACGAAUACUAUAGCUCUGAAUACGAAGGCGAUGAAGAACCGAUUAUGCAGAAGGUGCUAAAGCGGGUUACAAGGGGAAAAAACCUGAAGACGAAUUAGAUACUGGAGAUUCUGACAGAUAUGUGCAUCAGUCAACGGAACGUGAUCAACAUAAUGAAAACACAUUAUCAAGAAAUUAUUUUAAAAAGGCGACUAGUCCGUUUCACGAAUCUAACGAAGAAAAUAGUGAAGAACCACCAACAAAAAAAACUGAAGAAUCAUCCACGAAAUCCAUCCAGAGAUUCAGAGCCAAAUGGUCAGAUAAUGAAAAACAAGUUUUACUUCAGUAGUUUGAAAAACAUAUUGAAAAAAAAUUACCCCUCGGAAACAUGAAUGUGACGAACUACUGAAACUACAUCCACACGUGUUCGAAAAUAAGGACUGGGUCCGAAUAAAAACAUAUGUGUAUAAUACAUUCCGUGAAAGGAAGUGAUUGCUUAUUUUUAUUUUUACUGAACCACAUACUCGUAAUAGAUUAUUUUUAGUUCCAAUAAAUUACUUUUAAAUAA
rnacentral:lncRNA from 1 species